rnacentral:tRNA from 1 species
GGAGAGAUGGCCGAGUGGUUGAAGGCGCAGUUCUCGAAAAACUGUAUGGGGGUAACCUCAUCGUGGGUUCAAAUCCCACUCUCUCCG